UACGAGGGGGCAGAGCGUUGUUCGGAAUUAUUGGGCGUAAAGGGUGCGUAGGCGGUUUGGUAAGUCUGAUGUGAAAUCUAUGGGCUCAACUCAUAGUCUGCAAUCGGAAACUGCCGGGCUUGAGUAUGGGAGAGGUGAGUGGAAUUCCUGGUGUAGCGGUGAAAUGCGUAGAUAUCAGGAGGAACACCUGUGGUGUAGACAGCUUACUGGACCAUUUCUGACGCUGAGAACACGAAAGCGUGGGUAGCAAACAGG
rnacentral:rRNA from 1 species